AAUACGUUCCCGGACCUUGUACACACCGCCCGUCAAACAAUGGGAGUCAGGGAGACCUGAAGACAGUAACCGUCUAGGAGCUGUUUAGGGUAAAACUGGCGACUGGUGUU
rnacentral:rRNA from 1 species